rnacentral:rRNA from 1 species
AGCCUGAUGCAGCAACGCCGCGUGAGGGAUGAAGGCCUUUGGGUUGUAAACCUCUUUCCUCCGGGAAGAAGACCUGAGGGUACCCGUAGAAAAAGCCCCGGCUAACUCCGUGCCAGCAACCGCGGUAAUACGGAGGGGGCGAGCGUUGUUCGGAAUUACUGGGCGUAAAGGGCGUGCAGGCGGCCUUGUCAGUCUGGGGUGAAAUCCCGGGGCUCAACCCGGGACCUGCGCUUGAAACUGUGUCGCUUGAGAGCGAGAGAGGUAAGCGGAAUUUCCAGUGUAGAGGUGAAAUUCGUAGAUAUUGGGAAGAACACCAGUGGCGAAAGCGGCUUACUGGCUCGUUUCUGACGCUCAGGUGCGAAAGCGUGGGGAGCGAAAAGGAUUAUAUACCCUGGUAGUCCACGCCGUAAACGAUGUGUGCUAGACGUGGGGGGAAU